GGGAAGGUGGCUCAGUGGUAGAGCACUUGCCUUGUAUGCCUGAGGCCCUGGGUUCGAUUCCUCAGCACCCCA
rfam:Dipodomys ordii contig_60930, whole genome shotgun sequence.